AAAUGCGGCGCGGGGCGGGGGUCCGGGCGGGCUCCGCGCCCCCUCCCGCGGAGCUGCCUGCAGCCAGAAAAGCCUUUCCUGAAAGUGCCGUGGCGUUCGCAGGAAAAUUGCCUUCAGCCAGAAGCGACUGCUGCACUGAGGACCGCGCAAAACCAUCUCUCGGCUUUCCUCGAUCCCCUUGUCUCAAAGCUAAGUUGUGCCAAGCUGCAGGUGCCCUCCAGAUGCGGGUUCGAGGCAGUGGAGAGCUGCGUGUGGUGGGAGGGGGAGGGACUGGGUGGGUACGUGUCUGGCAGUCAGGUGUGCCAUUCCAGAGUGCCAAAUGUCUAGAGGUAGGGCACCGACAGGGAGACCUGGAAGCCACACCUCUGAAACAAUGUCAGUGUCGGUUGUCUUCACGGGACAAAAAACGUCCCCGAGGUGACUGUCCUGUCUGCAUGGCGCUGUGCAGAGGUGCAUCCUCAUACCUUGGCUUCGUUGUGGUGGUGCUUACACAGCACAGCCCUAAAAUAACUACCUCUCACAGCCCUGCUUCCCUCUACCUGCAAACAGAAGGUGUGCUUGUACAGCAGGGGAUUUAAUCGGAGAUCAGGUGAUGAGAAUGAGGGCUGCAGGAAAUGAUUUACCUUUUCUCAGGCUCACAGCCUGGCCUCUCCUUUUGACAGCAGGUGCCCAAUACGGCCUAUUUCGCUUCCUCCAAAGAAUUAAUUCUUUUCUCCCGUACGUGGCCCCUGGAAGAAGUCUAAGCACCUCCCUCAUGCUGUCAUCCUGUAUUUCCAGUGAUCACAGCACUUGUUCAGGAGCUGAAGAUGUGGCUCCUGGUCCUUUUCCCAGGACUUUGUGUUUUCUUCUUUGACAGAUGUUUGAUGUAAAGUACAUAGCGCACACUUUCAAAAGGGGACUGAAAUCCACGGCUGCUCCCCUCCCUUCCCCAUGGCAAUGUUAUUACUGCUGGGUCAUGGCCUCUCCUUGAUUACUCCCGUGAAUCCCGAAGCCCCACCCUCUCCCCCAAGCAGCAGUACGGGUUCAACAGGCUGGUUGGAAAUGGAGUGUGUGUCAGGCUAGCCUGCCUCCCUAGUAAAAUACUCCUCGGGAAGGUCAGAGCGAGGUAUCUGAACCCCGGCAGGCAGAAGAAGGAGAAAAUGACCUCGUGUCACCUGGUGUGAGGGGCACUACAAGGCACACAGGGGGAAGGAAAUCUCCCCUGGGGAGUUGAGGAAGGGUUCAAAAAGGCUGGUGAAGUGUUAAGCAAAAGCAGCCAGCGGCUUGGCACAUGGUGGAGAAGUCGAUUAUAAACAUUUGCAGCUGGUUCUCUCUCUCCUUCCUCGGAGGAACUGGGUAACUGCUGACUCAGGAGCUGCAUCAAGUCGGAGGAAUGAGAAGGGGGUCAUGUUUCCCGAGUGCCUGUACACGCCGCAGAGCGAUGGGAUAGCGCCGGGCACCUCCUACCGCCUGUCCCGUCUUGGAAAAGCGAUCCCAGCAGCGUGCUCUAAGAAGCCAGAGCCUAUUGUCCCCUAGUUACUACUAUGGACUUAGUCAUUGGAAACCAAAAACUCAUCAUCAUGAGGGCCACCAGCAAAGCUUUAUACAACACCUCUGGAUAAAACAAAAUCCUAUCUGGAUAAAUCAGAGUAGCUGAACUCAAAAUGUUCUGAUGAAAGAAAGCAGGAAAAGGUUCAAGAAAGCAGAUGGAUGGAAACAACACAGAGCAAACUGGACACCUUGCCACCAGAUACAAGCAAUACAUCUGGACAGCCAGAGUAUCAAGUGCAAAAGAAAAACAAUGGGAACACUAAAAGCAACACAACCAGGAUGCUGCUGGAGAUGUUAAGAUUAGUGAUAAGCAAAUAGUUUUGGCAAUGGUAAUUUUAUUCCAUACUUAGGACUGAAGUACUGUUAAACACAGAGGAGAUCAAGUAUGCCUGUGUGAUGAGUACCUGUGAGGGAGAACACCAGUGAUCUCAUUGUACACGAGAAAGCUUAGUUACAUCUUUUCCUUUGAAGUGCAAGCUAUUCAAGCUAAGAACUACAUCUUCUUCCUGGUUUGUACAGUGUGCCUAUUGCAAUGGAACAACAACCUAAUAGAAACUGUUCACCACUUAUUUGUUGUGUUAAUCAGCACAAAAAUUCUAUUUUGCCAAUUUCAGAAACAGUGAAUAACUACUAUGGAAAAAAAUUCACAGUCCAAUAACCUUGUACAACAUAAAU